GAUGAAGAACGUAGCGAAAUGCGAUAAGUAAUGUGAAUUGCACAAUUCAGUGAAUCAUCGAAUCUUUGAACGCACAUUGCGCCCAUUAGUAUUCUAGUGGGCAUGCCUGUUCGAGCGUCAUUAAGUCCACUUAAGCCCUGCUUAGUGUUGGGAGACUGCUCCAGCGGUGCUACCCUGUAGCUACCCUGCAGCUCCUCAAAGACAGCGGCGGAGUUGUGGUAUCCUCUGAGCUUAGUAACUUGUUCUAGCUUUCGAGUACACCACUUCCCCUGCCGUAAAACCCUUAAUUUUUAAUGGUUGACCUCGGAUCAGGUAGGAAUACCCGCUGAACUUAAGCAUAUCAAUAAGCGGAGGA
rnacentral:misc_RNA from 1 species